CCCUUGAUGAAAGGACAUGAUUUUUGCACUACCUGGAUUGGCCACCCGGUUUUAAUUUUCCUCCGGGAGGGAAAUACUUAGUGACACCAGGUGGCCACUCGAGGUAAUGCACUCAGCAUCUCCUUCUGUGCAUUCCAACCUGACCCCCACUGGGACCCACUCAACAUCCUCCAACCUGCUCCGGCGUCCCCAGACUUGCCAGCACUCCGCUUACCCCACCCCAAUCUGCCCCCUGCACGUGGCCCUCCAAUCCACCCCAUCUGUUCCCCAUCUCAGGGCACCCCAACAUCCUCCAUGAUACCCCUUCCCUACACCCCAACCCCAAUUGGCUCCAACGUAUUUCUCCAUUGCUGGGCCCCACUUUCCCAGCACUGCACUUCCCCACACUACCCACAGCCAGCCAGGUUUCCCUCUCUAAUUCCUGUUCCCCUUCCCAGCCACACUGGGGCCUUUCAACCCCUCUCCAACCUGCCCUUACUCUCCAAGGCUUCUGAAUCCCACAUUCCCUCAGUACAGCUUGGGAACAUUACACACUUCUACCUCACAGUGCAGUCCCCAUCGCCAGAUAUCAUACGACUAAGCCAUUGAUGCACGGACCCCAAAUUGCUUACUGAACAUGUCCGUUGAUCAGCCCCAUGGAGUGCUGUCUCCCUUCCUAGGACACAGGCAGGCGUGCUAGGUGUGAUCCCCACAGGUUAGGUCUCGGGAGCCAUGAAGAAGUAGGACGGGACAAAAAUUCUGCAAGGUAGCGGAUAGUGGAGUGGAGCAGUGACUGUCAGUGUUGACUCAGUCUCUGCUCAUUGAGUCUGGCGGAUGUAGAUGGGACUGGAGAGGGAGGCAGGGAUGAGGGCAAGAUUAAAUGCAGCAAUAGAGCUCUGUGUAGUGACGGAUCUUGCUUGGCUUUAUUAGUUUGCAGAGGAAUCAUCCAGGAGCCCUCGCCGGGGGAAAAUAUGGCAGAAGUGGACCUGAGCAGCCUGGACAUCCUUAUAAGGAGACAUGAAUAGUCCUCAGCUUUCUGCCUCUCUCUUAAAUGGCUGUGAUACCAAGGAAAAAGACGUCACGUGUGAGAGUGUACAGCCCUCGUGAUGGAAAACGAGUGAGAGUGAUGAGACUGCGAGCGUUGUUGGUGCCAGGCAGCAGCCGUCCAUCUGGGAGCAGAACAGCUGCUACUAUCACUAAGUAUCUCUUUUGCUGAGGGUUCUGCUCCUCCAGGCAGGGACACCUUGUUAGCUGGGGCUGGGUUUGUAAGAAAAGGUUCCUGACUAGCUGUCGUUACGAGGGAGACAAGGUCCCCAUUUUCAGGGGCUGGUCAGUUCUCUGGCCGGUAGCAGUGUGUCCUCUGCAGCGGAAGGUUAGAUCCCUGAGAAUGACUGCAGGUGGAAAGUUGCUUGCCAUCCUCCCAUGUUUCUCUCUUUCUUCUCUACUGUGUUGGCCAACAUUCUCCCUCUCUGUCUGUCUGUCCUUGCCUCUCCUUGUGCUGUCUUCCUUUGUAGCACACAGGCAGGCGUGCUCGGAGAGCAUCCCGAUGGCCUAUGUAUCAGGAGCCAUGAAAAAGUAGAAGGGGAUGAAAAUAAUGCAGAUUAAUGGGCAUGAAAGCAGAGCGGUGACUGUCAGUGUUAAGUCGGUCUCUGUUCAUCGAGUGGGGCUGAUGUAGAUGGGAUGGAAGAGGGAGGCGGGGAUGAGGGCAAGAUUUCAAGCACCGAUAGAGAUGUGUGUAGUGAUGGCUCAUGCAUGGCUUUUGCAGCUGCUCUUGCAGAGGAAUUGUCCAGAAGCUUCGCCAGAGGAGAAGCUGGCAGAGGUGGACCUGCUCAGCCUGAACAUCCUUCUAAGCAGACAUGAACAGUCCUCAGCUUUCUGCCUCCUACUUUACUGGCUGUGAGUAACAGUGCCGGGAGAAAUGAAGUCACACGUCAGAUUCUAUUGCCCUCAUGCGAUGGAAAGUGAGUGAGAGCAGCGAGCCUGUGAGCAUUGUUCAUGCCAAGCAAGAGCCGUCCAUCUGGAAGCCACCGAUACAGAUAAGUUUCUGUUUUGUUGAGGGUUCUGCUCACGCUCCAUCUGACUCCAGGUAGAGACACACCGUCAGCUGGGGCUGGGUUUGUAAGAAAAGGUACCUGACUAGCUGUGGUUUUGAGGGAGACAAGGUUCCCAUUUUCAGGGGCUGCUCAUGUCUUUAGCCAGGACUGGUGUGUCCUCCUCAGCAUAGUAGAUCCAGGCGGAUGACUCCAGUUGGUGAGUUUCUUGAUUCCAUCCCACUGUUUUCUCUAUCUCUCCUGUAAUGUGUUGGCCAACACUCACUCACUCUCUGUCCUUGCCUUGCCUUGUGCUGUCUCCCUUCAUAGGACAUGGGCAGGUGUGGUAGGUAUGCAUCCCCACAGGCUAGGUCUUAUGAGCUGUGAACAAGUAGAAGACUGAAAUAUUACUGGGCAGUGGGCACUACAGUGCAGGGGUGACUGUGGGUGUUGACUGAGUCUCUGCCCUUGUGGGGCUGAUGUAGAUGGAAUGAGAGAGGGAGGUGGGAAUGAGGGCAAGAUUAAACGCUCCAAUAGAGCUCUGUGUAGUGAUGGUACUUGCUUGCCUUUAUUAGUUUGCAGAAGAAUCAUCCAGGAGCCCUCGCCGGAUGAGAAUAUGCAGAACUGGACCUGAGCAGCCUGGACAUCCUUCUAAGGAGACAUGAGUAGUCCUCAGAUUUCUUUCUUCUGCAUAUCUGGCUGUGAGUAAGAGAGGAAAGAAGUCAGCGGUAAGAGCCCACCCCCGUUGUGAGAUGGAAAGCAUGCAAAAGCCAUGAGAAAAUGAGCAUUACUGAUGCCAGGCUAUGCAGAUGCCAUCGAGCUGGGAGUGGAGCAGCCAUCACCACCAGUCAGAUAAGUGUCUGGUUUGGUGACGACUCUGAUAACAGCCCACCUGCCUACAGGCUGGGACUAUUCGUUAGGUGAGGCUCGCUUUGUAGGAAAAGAUUCUUGACUAGAUGCGGUUAUGAGGUAGACAAGGUCCCCAUUUUCAGGGGCUGGUCAUUUCUCUGUCCACAAGCAGUGUGUCCUCCACAGCAGAUAGUUGGAUCCAGGGGGAUUACUCCAGCUGGUGAAUUUCUUGUCUUUCUCUUGUGUCUGUCUCUCUCCCCCUCUCUCUCUGUCUUGCUUCUCUAGUGUGUUGGCCAACACUCUUUAUCUCCCUGUCUCUGUCCUUGCCUCUCUUUGUGCUGUCUCCCUUCAUGGUACACGGGCAGGAGUGCUGGGUGUGGUUCCCCACAGACAAGGUCUUGGCAGAUACGUGCAAGUAGGAGGGGAUGAAAAUCGUUCCGGGCAGUAGGCGCUAGCGUAGAGUGGAGACUGUCAGUGUUUACUUAGUCACUGUUCAUCGAGUGGGGCUAAUGUAGAUGGGAUGGGAGAGAGAGACAAGCAUGAGGCCAAGAUUUCAAGCACCAAUAGAGCUGUGUGUAGUCACAGCUCAUGCUUGGCUUUUGUAGCUGCUCUUGCAGAGGAGUUGUCCAGGAGCCCUAGCUGGAGGAGGAAGAGGCAGAUGUGGACCUGAGCAGCUUGGACAUCCUUCUAAGGAGACAUGAACAGUCCUCAGCUUCCUGCCUCAGCUUAACUGGCUGUGAGUAAGAGUACCAAGGGAAAAUAAGUCACGCACCAGAAUCCACUGCCCUCAGGCGAUGGAAAGAAAUGAGACUGCGAGUAUUGUCGAUGCCACGCAAAAGCUGUCCAACUGGGAGUGGAACAGCUGCCACUCUCAAUGAGAUAAGUGUCUGUUUUGGUGAUUGCUCUGCUCCCGGCCCUCCCUGCUCCUAGUAGGGAUGCCACAUUAGCUGGGGCUCGGUUUGUAAGAAAAUGUUCUUGACUAGUUGUAGUUAUGAAGGACACAAAGUCCUCAUUUUCAGGGGCUGCUCAGUUCUCUGGCCAUGAGCGGUGAGUCCUCUGCAGUAGAAGUUUGGAUCCAGGAGGAUGACUGGAGGUGCUGCACUUGCAGAGAAAGUGUCCAGGAGCCCCAGCCUGAGGAGAAGUUGGCAGAAGCGGACCUGAUCAGCCUGAGCAUCCUUCUAAGCAGACAUGAACAGUCCUCUCCUUUCUGAAUCCCACUUAACAUGCUGUGGUACCAUAGGAAAAGAAAUCUUGCAUGAAAGUCUACUGCCGUCAUGCAAUGGAAAUCGAGCGAGAGCGAUGGGACCGCAAGAAAUUAUUGCUACCAUGAAAAAGCCGUUCAACUGGGAGUGGAACAACCACCACUCUCAAUGAGAUAAGUGUCUGCUUUGGUGAUUGCUCUGUUUUUGAGUAGCUGUAGUUAUGAGGGAGACAAGGUCCCCAUUUUCAGGGACUGCUCAGUUCUCUGGCCAGUAGCAGUGUGUCCUCUGCAGCAGAUGGUUGGAUCCAGGAGGAUGACUGCAGGUGUUCCUACUGAGAUUGGUCUCUGCCACAGGUUGGCCAAUCUCUCAUCUGACCAAAAAAGUAGUGGCCACCCUGAGCCCAUCCCUAGGGAUGGAAGCCAGACAGUAAUCUGCAGAAGGGAUCGUCCAGGAGCCGCAGCUAGAGGAGAAACUGGAAGAAAUGAACCUGAGCAGCCUGAGCAUCCUUAUAAGCAGAGAUGAACAGUCCUCAGCUUUCUGCCUUCCACAUAACUGGCUGUGAGUAAGCGGUCAGUGUUUGGAAUUCCUCAUCUGUUCUCGCUCCAGUUGUGUGCAGAGGCUCUGAAUAUCCUCGUUGAAUGUGGUGCUGUGUGGGAUUCAAGCUGGGGAAGGGACCAGAGUCUCAGUUGCCAACUUUCACUAGGUAAAUAAGCACCCCGACUUUCAUAAUAAACCAAAAAUCAAGCUAAUCCCAUUUCAAAACAAUUCCAAAGCAAGCCAAUCCCUUGGAACCCCAACACUCUGUGCGACUAAAUCUCCCAUUGCAAGUCGUCAGAGACUGUGGUGGGCCCCCUGUACACUCCUGACUCUCUUCUCCCUUUGCCCCUGUGUGCCCCCAAUUGCUGGGAGCCGACCAAAAAAAAAAAAGCAGUCAGAAGCUACAGCAAACAACAACCUACAAGCCAAAAACUAGCCAACAAGCAACUUGCAAGCCAGUUAGGCCAAAAACAUGACCAAUUUCU